rnacentral:lncRNA from 1 species
AAACCAUAUACUAAGGCCAUUUCAAACAUUUCCCUAUGUUUCUUGUCCAUAUUGAGCAAUAAAUUAUUUGGGUAGUGGUCUUUAGAAUAUUCACUGUAUACACCUGGGGCUUCUAUAACAACCAUAUUCUACCUCCUUCAUACAAGUUUAAGUUUGUGGUAUAUGAACAACCAUCACAAAGUAUAAGAGAUGCUCUUUGAGCUUGUGUUCUCUUAAUCUUUGUCUCCAAGAGAACAAAAAGACUGACUCUAGAGUUGUGCAUAAAAGUAUGUAUUUCUCUCUAUUUUUCAAUCCUAUUUGCAUUUCUCUCUAUUUUUCAAUCCUAUUUAAUCCCUUAGAGUUACAGAAUCCAAUGCUAUCCAUCGUAUGGGGAUGGGCUUUCACCAUCUCUAGCAUUGUGUAGUUUUUGUCCACUUGUUCUUCCAUUCUUCAUUUGUUACGUUCCUGUUUCUUGACCAGGAGCUUUGUCCAGUAUGUCAGGUAUUUUUCAUGGUCAGUAUUGUACCUGGGGAUUGGGGUGCUUAAAGCUUGCUUUGCCUUAAUUCCCUGUUUUUAUCUGGUGUCUUUUGACUUCCUUUUCGAGGGUCUUCUUUCUGUGUCUCCUAGCUUUUCUCUUAUUGUUUGUUCUCUUCCACCUGCUGUUUUUUCUCUCUACCGUCUUUCAAUUGUCUCAUGGAAUUUUCAACUUCAUGUUCAAAGUUUUGGUAAUAUGUGCACAUGGUCGGUUUCCACUCAUGUUCCACCCGUUGUUAUACAAUGCAUCUUAGCUCAUUUUCAACCAUCACCCUUGUAGGGUAAACUUUAUCUAUGGGUAACUCCACUAGAACUCGUGCAACUAUCAUACGCUCUUUGUUUGAUGUAGCUCUAUCCGCUCGCAAUGGCGUUCCAAUUAAGCCAACUAUUUUGGCUAAUUCUCCCCUACCCAGUAUUUGAUAUUCAAGUUUGGUAGUUUAACCACACUGGCACCCUAGUAACUGUCUCCUUUGUAGCAUCACAAUUCAGCUCCCAUGAUUUUACCACUAUUGGCUUGCUAUCAAAUAGCAAUACACCUUCUUCCAUUACUUUCACUUUCUCCUUCUGUGAAUUGAAUCUCAGAAGGGAAACUCCUCUAUUUACUUGGGCUACCCUUUCUAUUCCCCUUCCUUUCCAUAUGCGAUUAAAGUACCUCUCCAUCACUGAUUGUGGGGGGGUGGGGUGGGGGAUUUGACCCCAUCACAUAGCAUAUUAUUGUUGAUUCCCAGAAAUUCACCUCCUCUUGUAUAUCCUCCGCUGUAAUCUUCACCAUAGUGCUUCCCGCUCCUUUAUUCUGCAGCUCAAACCCUACUUCGAUCCAUCACCCCAUUAAUUUUACUCCACAUUUGCAUCUUACUCAUCGGUGGAUUGGGAUUUUGUUCUUCUUCUACCAUAUCUUCCCAUGUAGAUGCCCCUGAACAUCCCUGCUCUGACAUCUUCCCUGUUUUCA